rnacentral:rRNA from 1 species
GAUGAACGCUGGCGGCGUGCCUAAUACAUGCAAGUCGAGCGAACCACUUCGGUGGUGAGCGGCGAACGGGUGAGUAACACGUAGGUGAUCUGCCCAUCAGACGGGGACAACGAUUGGAAACGAUCGCUAAUACCGGAUAGGACGAAAGUUUAAAGGUGCUUCUGGCACCGCUGAUGGAUGAGCCUGCGGCGCAUUAGCUAGUUGGUAGGGUAAAGGCCUACCAAGGCGACGAUGCGUAGCCGACCUGAGAGGGUGAACGGCCACACUGGGACUGGGACACGGCCCAGACUCCUACGGGAGGGAGCAGUAGGGAAUCUUCGGCAAUGGGCGAAAGCCUGACCGAGCAACGCCGCGUGAAUGAUGAAGGCCUUCGGGUUGUAAAAUUCUGUUAUAAGGGAAGAACGACUUUAGUAGGAAAUGGCUAGAGUGUGACGGUACCUUAUGAGAAAGCCACGGCUAACUACGUGCCAGCAGCCGCCGUAA